GACUAGGCGUCUGGUGCCCGCGAACCGUCACCCCAUCCGCUCCCUCACGCGGGAAAACAAAAGAAGGCAGCGCCGAACAAAACGGCCGUAACGAGUUGUCGCGAGGGAGGAGGCCGAGGGGACGUGCACGUGCCUACGCCCGGCCGCCACCCACACACACGGACACCCGCGCACAGGUCUCCCUCUUCCCUUUCGUCCAUCAGAAUUGCUCAACUUUCCUCGCGUGCACCCAGAAUGAAUGCAGGGGCGAUGGAAGAUAUUUUGCCGCACGCCGCGUUCGUUUCUUCGGUGCCGACCCUCACGAAGGAGGAUGUAGAGCGCUUUGGCCGGCAGAUGCUGGUGGAGGAGAUCGGCGCUGCUCACAUGGAGCAGAUCCGCCAUGCUCAUGUCGUGUGCGUUGGCGCCGGCGGGCUGGGCAGCACUAUUCUGCUGUACCUUGCAGCGUCCGGGGUCGGGAGGCUUACGAUUGUGGACUUUGAUGACGUCGAGCUGUCGAACUUGCACCGGCAGGUGAUUCACACGACGGCAGCGAUCGGCCAGCCAAAGGCGCUGAGUGCGAAGGCGUCGUGCCUGCGACUAUUUCCAGCAGCAUGCGUUGACGCGGUGGUGGAGGCUCUCAGCCCCGAAAAUGCCGAGCGGCUCUUUGCCACGUGCGACGUCGUCGUUGACGGCACAGACAACGUGGCUGCGCGCUACCUCAUCAACGAUGCCGCGAUGCGCUGCGGCAAGCCUCUCGUUAGCGGAAGCGCCAUGGGGUGGGAGGGGCAGCUCUCAGUGUAUGGCUAUCGCGGAGGCCCGUGCUAUCGGUGCUUGUUCCCGCAGCCACCCCCUCAGGAAACGGUCGGCAGCUGCAACGACAGCGGUGUUAUGGGCCCUCUGCCAGGUAUGAUCGGCUGCUUGCAGGCGUUGGAGGUGUUAAAGGUGGCGACCGGAGUCGGUGAGACACUGAAUGGUCGCCUGUUUCUCUUCAACGGUCUCCGCUUUUCCUCGCGCGUCGUCAAGUUACGCGGGCGACAGCCACACUGUGUGGCCUGCAGCGCUGCAGCGUUGGCGGACGCGACACCACUACCGCAAUUAGCCGCGCAAGCGCGCCCCGAGUACGUCCCGUACUCGUGCCCAAUCACCUCAGUGCCGAGCCCACCCGGUACAUCGUGCAGCGCCUCGGAGUACGCCGCGCACGCGCGCGGCUCCGCUGCUGCUCAGCGCCGUGUCACACUCGAUGUGCGUGUACGCUUGCAGUACGACAUGGCGCACUUGGCGCAUUCGGUAAACGUGCCGUACCAGUCGCUGCUGCAGUGGAAGCGCGCGGGAACGGUGGUGACGCAGCUGGCGGACGUGUUGGACAAGGCACUACCACCGCAGUCCGACACACCGGAUUGCAUGAAGGAAGGGUCUGCUGUUGUCUCCCAUGGCGACGCAGGGCCACAAGUAGUGGUUUACGUGCUGUGUCGUCGCGGCCUCAAUUCCCUCAAGGCAGUGGCCUUGAUUCGCGCGGCGCUCGCGGAGGCGGAGGCGAGGGGCGACGAAGCGGCCGUCGCCCGGCUUGGUAGAUACGUCUUUCGGAACGUCAGCGGCGGCCUCAACGCCUACCACCGCGAGGUGGACAGCGCCUUCCCCUACUACUGACGGCAUGGUCGGUGCUCGCUCGCGAGGCGUGUGUGGCCAAACAUGAAGCCGGGGGCGUCUUCCUGUUCAACCGAAUGGCUCACUCCUAAUAAGCUCACAGCUGCGAGGGUCAAAGUGGGUGGUGAUGACGAGCACCAUCUGAUCCUGGCCUCUUGGCAUGCGGCCAACACAGAAGAAAAACAAGUACCGAUGCAUGUAGAGCUCCAGAGGAAGGAAAGAGAGGGAGGCGCAGCGGGGAAUAUGGUGGGCGUGAGAGAGACUCUCGCUUUAGGCGCUCUAAUGUUGCCCUUCUCCCUUCUCCGUGUGUUGAGACCUCUUCUCACCGCAUGAAGGUAAGCCGCAAGGAUCUCUCGCACGGCACGCAGAUUUCGCCCCCCCCCCAAUUCAUCUCCUCUUUCGCUGCGAAGGAUUCGCGUACAUGAAAUGGCAGAUCGGAACGCGCCCGAGGUCGAGGCAGCGUUGGCAACACACUCCGCGAUUCGACCCCAUGUUGAUGCUUGUUCUUCUCGUCCUCUCUUUUUUCGGCCUUUUUUCUUUAACCCAAG
rnacentral:misc_RNA from 1 species